CCUACGGGAGGCAGCAGUGAGGAAUAUUGGUCAAUGGGCGCGAGCCUGAACCAGCCAAGUAGCGUGAAGGAUGAAUGCCCUACGGGUCGUAAACUUCUUUUAUAAAGGAAUAAAGUGCGGCAUGUGUACUUUUUUGUAUGUAUUUUAUGAAUAAGGAUCGGCUAACUCCGUGCCAGCAGCCGCGGUAAUACGGAGGAUCCGAGCGUUAUCCGGAUUUAUUGGGUUUAAAGGGAGCGUAGGUGGAUUGUUAAGUCAGUUGUGAAAGUUUGCGGCUCAACCGUAAAAUUGCAAUUGAUACUGGCAGUCUUGAGUACAGUAGAGGUGGGCGGAAUUCGUGGUGUAGCGGUGAAAUGCUUAGAUAUCACGAAGAACUCCGAUUGCGAAGGCAGCCUACUAGACUGCAACUGACAUUGAUGCUCGAAAGUGUGGGUAUCAAACAGGAUUAGAUACCCUAGUAGUC
rnacentral:rRNA from 1 species